AUUGAACGCUAGCGGCAUGCUUAACACAUGCAAGUCGAACGGCAGCGCGGGUAGCUUGCUACCUGGCGGCGAGUGGCGGACGGGUGAGUAAUACGUAGGAAUCUACCUCAAAGUGGGGGAUAACCCGGGGAAACUCGGGCUAAUACCGCAUAAUCUCUAUGGAGCAAAGCAGGGGACUUUCGGGCCUUGUGCUGUGAGAUGAGCCUACGUCGGAUUAGCUAGUUGGUGGGGUAAAGGCCUACCAAGGCGACGAUCCGUAGCUGGUCUGAGAGGACGAUCAGCCACACUGGGACUGAGACACGGCCCAGACUCCUACGGGUGGCAG
rnacentral:rRNA from 1 species